GACGGCCUGCUGGUAAAGUUGGGCAUUUUUCGAUACGUUGUUCAGCUCAGACUCCUUCUUUUUAAUGUCGGAGAGCAGGUUCUGUGACAACACAGCAAUCAACAUUUUAGACCGAGAAACAUAACAGGACCAUUAGAGGUAGAGGACUGACUAUAGAAACAUAACAGGACCAUUAGAGGUAGAGGACUGACUAUAGAAACAUAACAGGACCAUUAGAGGUAGAGGACUGACUAUAGAAACAUAACAGGACCAUUAGAGGUAGAGGACUGACUAUAGAAACAUAACAGGACCAUUAGAGGUAGAGGACUGACUAUAGAAACAUAACAGGACCAUUAGAGGUAGAGGACUGACUAUAGAAACAUAACAGGACCAUUAGAGGUAGAGGACUGACUAUAGAAACAUAACAGGACCAUUAGAGGUAGAGGACUGACUAUAGAAACAUAACAGGACCAUUAGAGGUAGAGGACUGACUAUAGAAACAUAACAGGACCAUUAGAGGUAGAGGACUGACUAUAGAAACAUAACAGGACCAUUAGAGGUAGAGGACUGACUAUAGAAACAUAACAGGACCAUUAGAGGUAGAGGACUGACUAUAGAAACAUAACAGGACCAUUAGAGGUAGAGGACUGACUAUAGAAACAUAACAGGACAUUAGAGGUAGAGGA